UAGGGAAUCUUCCGCAAUGGGCGAAAGCCUGACGUAGCAACGCCGCGUGAGUGAUGAAGGUCUUCGGAUCGUAAAACUCUGUUAUUUGGGAAGAAUAAAUGUGUAAGUAACUAUGCACGUCUUGACGGUACCUAAUCAGAAAGCCACGGCUAACUACGUGCCAGCAGCCGCGGUAAUACGUAGGUGGCAAGCGUUAUCCGGAAUUAUUGGGCGUAAAGCGCGCGUAGGCGGUUUUUUAAGUCUGAUGUGAAAGCCCACGGCUCAACCGUGGAGUGUCAUUGGAAACUGGAAAACUUGAGUGCAGAAGAGGAAGGUGAAAUUCCAUGUGUAGCGGUGAAAUGCGCAGAGGUAUGGAGGAACACCAGUGGCGAAGGCGACUUACAGGUCUGUAACUGACGCGGAUGUGCGAAAGCGUGGGGAUCAAACAGG
rnacentral:rRNA from 1 species